AUGGCUGUUGUAAUGAGUGACAUACCUGUUGUAUUAAGUGGCAUGAUUAAUGUGUUGAGUGUUGUUGUAGUUUUAUCAAGUGCUGUGACUGUUGCAGCUGUUGUGUCAAUUGAUGUGGCUGUUGUACUGACUGUAGGGUUUGUUGAACUGAGUCUUGUGACAGUUAGGUUGAGUGGUGUGACUGUUGUGUUGACUGAAUAUGUUAAGUUUUGUACUGUUGUAUUGACCGGUGGGGUUGUUACAUUGAGUGCUAUAUCUGUUGUACUGUCCAAUGAGGUUGUUAUAAUGGGUAUGCCUGUUGUGCUAACUGGUGCAGUUGUUAUUUUAGGUGUUGUAUUUGUUGCACUGAUUGAUAAUGGUGGUACAUUGUGUGGUGUACUUGUGUUGAUUGUCAUUUCUGUUGUUUUGACUGGAGAGGUUGUAAUAUUAUGUGGUGUACUUGUUGUAUGGACCAGUGCAGCUGUUACAUUGAGUGUUGUAUCUCUUGUACUGGCCGAUGAAUUUGUUGUAUCGAAUGUGGUUUCUGUUAUUUUGGCUGGGGUUGUUAUAUUGUGUGUUGGAUCUAUUGUAUGGACCAGUGAGGGUGUUAUACUGUGUGCUGUAUCUGUUGUAUGGAUCAGUGAGGUUGUUAAAUUGAGUGUUGUUUUUGUUGUACUGACUGGUGAGGUUGUUAUAUUGUAUGGUAUAUUGUUUGAGGUACCUGUUGUGCUGACUGGUGAGGUUGUUAUAUUGUGUGUUCUAUCUGUGGUGCUGACUGGUGAGGUUGUUAUAUUGUAUGGUGUACCUGUUGCACUCACUGGUGGGAUUAUUAUAUUGUGUGUCAUAUUUGUUGUACUGGUAUAUUGUUUGAGGUACCUAUUGUGCUGACUGGUGAGGUUGUUACAUUGUGUGUUGUAUCUGUUGUGCUGACUGGUGAGGUUGUUGUAUUGUGUGUUGUAUCUGUUGUGCUGACUGGUGAGGUUGUUGUAUUGUAUGGUGUACCUAUUGCGCUGACUGGUGGGAUUAUUAUAUUGUGUGUCAUAUUUGUUGUACUGAUUGGUGAUGUUGGUAUAUUGUUUGAUGUACCUGUUGUACUGACAGGUGAGGUUGUUAUAUUGAGUGUCGAUUCUGUACCUGUUGUUUUGACUGGUGAGUUUGCUAUACUGUUUGAUGUAGCUGUUGUGCUGACAGGUGAGGUUGUUAUAUUGUGUGGUGUACUUGCUGUAUUGACUGGUUGAGUUGCUACAUCUAGUGUUGUAUGUGUUGUCCUGAUCACUGAGGUUGUUAUUUUGUCUGUUGUAUCUGCUGUAUCAACCGGUUGAGUUGUUAAAUCAAGUGUUGUAUGUUUUGUACUGACCACUGAGGU
rnacentral:lncRNA from 1 species